GACGAACGCUGGCGGCGUGCCUAAUACAUGCAAGUCGAACGCUGAAGAGAGGAGCUUGCUCUUCGUGGAUGAGUUUCGCACGGGGGAGUAACACGUAGGUAACCUGCCUUGUAUCGGGGGAUAACUAUGUGAAACGAUAGCUAAUACCGCAUAACAAUAGAUGACACAUCUCAUUUAUUUGAAAGGGGCAAUUUCUCCACUACAAGAUGGACCUGCGUUGUAUUAGCUAGUAGGUGAGGUAAUGGCUCACCUAGGCGACGAUACCUAGCCGACCUGAGAGGGUGGUGGGCGACACUGGGAACGAGACGAGGGCCAGACGGCUCCGGGAGGCAGCAGUAGGGGCUCUUGGGAAAAGGGGGCAAUGCGGGCCGAGCAAAGCCGCGUGAGUGACGAAGGUUUUCGGAUCGUACAGCUCGGUUGUCAGUCAAGCACGGGGGUGAGAGUGGAAAGUUCACAUUGUGACGGUAGCUGAUAAGAAAGGGACGGCUAACUACGUG
rnacentral:rRNA from 1 species